rnacentral:rRNA from 1 species
GAUGAACGCUGGCGGCGUGCCUAAUACAUGCAAGUCGAGCGAACAGACGAGGAGCUUGCUCCUUCGACGUUAGCGGCGGACGGGUGAGUAACACGUAGGUAACCUACCUAUAAGACUGGGAUAACUUCGGGAAACCGGAGCUAAUACCGGAUAAUAUUUCGAACCGCAUGGUUCGAUAGUGAAAGAUGGCUUUGCUAUCACUUAUAGAUGGAUCUGCGCCGUAUUAGCUAGUUGGUAAGGUAACGGCUUACCAAGGCAACGAUACGUAGCCGACCUGAGAGGGUGAUCGGCCACACUGGAACUGAGACACGGUCCAGACUCCUAUGGGAGGCAGCAGUAGGGAAUCUUCCGCAAUGGGCGAAAGCCUGACGGAGUAACGCCGCGUGAGUGAUGAAGGUCUUCGGAUCGUAAAACUCUGUUAUUAGGGAAGAACAAACGUGUAAGUAACUGUGCACGUCUUGACGGUACCUAAUCAGAAAGCCACGGCUAACUACGUG